rnacentral:rRNA from 1 species
UUAAGCAUAUCAAUAAGCGGAGGAAAAGAAACCAACAGGGAUUGCCCCAGUAACGGCGAGUGAAGCGGCAACAGCUCAAAUUUGAAAUCUGGCCCCUAGGGUCCGAGUUGUAAUUUGUAGAGGAUGCUUUUGGUGAGGUGCCGCCCGAGUUCCCUGGAACGGGACGCCGCAGAGGGUGAGAGCCCCGUCUGGCUGGCCACCGAGCCUCUGUAAAGCUCCUUCAACGAGUCGAGUAGUUUGGGAAUGCUGCUCAAAAUGGGAGGUAUAUGUCUUCUAAAGCUAAAUAUUGGCCAGAGACCGAUAGCGCACAAGUAGAGUGAUCGAAAGAUGAAAAGCACCUUGAAAAGAGGGUUAAACAGUACGUGAAAUUGUUGAAAGGGAAGCGCUUGUGACCAGACUUGGGCGCGGCGGAUCAUCCGGGGUUCUCCCCGGUGCACUUCGCCGCGUUCAGGCCAGCAUCAGUUCGGCGCGGGGGAAAAAGGCUUCGGGAACGUGGCUCCUCCGGGAGUGUUAUAGCCCGUUGCAUAAUACCCUGUGCUGGACUGAGGACCGCGCAUCUGCAAGGAUGCUGGCGUAAUGGUCACCAGCGACCCGUC